AGUGAACGCUGGCGGUAGGCCUAACACAUGCAAGUCGAACGGCAGCACAGUAAGAGCUUGCUCUUACGGGUGGCGAGUGGCGGACGGGUGAGGAAUACAUCGGAAUCUACUUUUUCGUGGGGGAUAACGUAGGGAAACUUACGCUAAUACCGCAUACGACCUACGGGUGAAAGCAGGGGAUCUUCGGACCUUGCGCGAUUGAAUGAGCCGAUGUCGGAUUAGCUAGUUGGCGGGGUAAAGGCCCACCAAGGCGACGAUCCGUAGCUGGUCUGAGAGGAUGAUCAGCCACACUGGAACUGAGACACGGUCCAGACUCCUACGGGAGGCAGCAGUGGGGAAUAUUGGACAAUGGGCGCAAGCCUGAUCCAGCCAUACCGCGUGGGUGAAGAAGGCCUUCGGGUUGUAAAGCCCUUUUGUUGGGAAAGAAAAGCAGCAGGUUAAUACCUCGCUGUUCUGACGGUACCCAAAGAAUAAGCACCGGCUAACUUCGCG
rnacentral:rRNA from 1 species